rnacentral:rRNA from 1 species
GACGAAGGAUGCAAGCGUUAUCCGGAUUCAUUGGGUUUAAAGGGAGCGUAGGUGGUCUUAUAAGUCAGUGGUGAAAUCUCUGGGCUUAACCCAGAAAUUGCCAUUGAUACUGUAGGACUUGAGUAUAGUUGCCGUUGGCGGAAUAUGACAUGUAGUGGUGAAAUACAUAGAGAUGUCAUAGGACACCGAUUGCGAAGGCAGCUAACGAAACUAUAACUGACACUGAGGCUCGAAAGUGUGGGGAUCAAACAGG